GCCAGCAGCCAUAUCACCCUGCAACUCACAACUGGCAACCUACUAAAACUAAGCAGGUGUGAGCCUGGUCAGUACCUGGAUGGGAGACUUCCUGGGAAAAACUAAGGUUGCUGCUGGAA
rnacentral:rRNA from 1 species